rnacentral:rRNA from 1 species
UGGCGGCGUGCAUAACACAUGCAAGUCGAGCGAGGAGCUUGCUCUCAGCGGCGAACGGGUGAGUAACACGUGGGCUACCUGCCCCAAGCUCUGGAAUAACCCCGGGAAACCGGGGCUAAUGCCGGAUUGACAUCGCUGGGCAUCUGGUGGUGUGGAAAGAUUUAUCGGCUUGGGAUGGGCCCGCGGCCUAUCAGCUUGUUGGUGGGGUAAUGGCCUACCAAGGCGACGACGGGUAGCCGGCCUGAGAGGGCGAUGGCCACACUGGGACUGAGACACGGCCCAGACUCCUACGGGAGGCAGCAGUGGGGAAUAUUGCGCAAUGGGCGAAAGCCUGACGCAGCGACGCCGCGUGAGGGAUGACGGCCUUCGGGUUGUAAACCUUUUCAGCAGGGACGAAGCGAGAGUGACGGUACCUGCAGAAGAAGCACCGGCCAACUACGUGCCAGCAGCCGCGGUAAUACGUAGGGUGCAAGCGUUGUCCGGAAUUAUUGGGCGUAAAGAGCUCGUAGCGGCCUGUCGCGUCGGCUGUGAAAACCCGGGGCUCAACCCCGGGCCUGCAGUCGAUACGGGCAGGCUAGAGUCCGGUAGGGGAGACUGGAAUUCCUGGUGUAGCGGUGAAAUGCGCAGAUAUCAGGGGAACACCGGUGGCGAAGGCGGGUCUCUGGGCCGGAACUGACGCUAAGGAGCGAAAGCGUGGGGAGCGAACAGGAUUAGAUACCCUGGUAGUCCACGCCGUAAACGUUGGGCGCUAGGUGUGGGGGACUUCCACGGCCUCCGUGCCGCAGCUAACGCAUUAAGCGCCCCGCCUGGGGAGUACGGCCGCAAGGCUAAAACUCAAAGGAAUUGACGGGGGCCCGCACAAGCGGCGGAGCAUGUGGCUUAAUUCGAUCAACGCGAAGAACCUUACCAGGGCUUGACAUGCAGAGAAAUCUCAUAGAGAUAUGGGGUCCUUAGGGGCUCUGCACAGGUGGUGCAUGGCUGUCGUCAGCUCGUGUCGUGAGAUGUUGGGUUAAGUCCGCAACGAGCGCAACCCUUAUCCUAUGUUGCCAGCGCGUCAUGGCGGGGACUCAUAGGAGACUGCCGGGGUCAACUCGGAGGAAGGUGGGGAUGACGUCAAGUCAUCAUGCCCCUUACGUCCUGGGCGCACACAUGCUACAAUGGCCGGUACAAAGGGCUGCGAUGCCGUGAGGUGGAGCGAAUCCCAAAAAGCCGGUCUCAGUUCGGAUCGGGGUCUGCAACUCGACCCCGUGAAGUCGGAGUCGCUAGUAAUGCAGAUCAGCAUUGCUGCGGUGAAUACGUUCCCGGGCCUUGUACACACCGCCCGUCACGUCACGAAAGUCGGUAACACCCGAAGCCGGUGGCCCAACCCUUGUGGGGGGAACCGUCCAA